GGCUGGUAUAAGUGCAAUGGUGUUUACAACUAAUUCUUCACCACCAGUUACACACUUCUUUUUUCUCUACUCCCACUGCUUCACUUGACUGGCCUUAA
rnacentral:Y_RNA from 1 species